rnacentral:pre_miRNA from 1 species
UUAUUUGUUUAAGGCAAAUUCUUAUUUAAUUAUGUUAGUUAUGACAGACUCAUACCUAAGUGUUCAGAAUCAUAUAUUAUUAUAACUUCAGCUAUUAUUUAGUAAAUAUUAAAUUUCUAAAACAGAAC